GUACUCACUUUAGCAGCAUAUAUACUAACAUUAGAAAGAUAAUACAAAAAAGGGUAGCAUGAUGCCUGUACAAGGAAGACACAUACAUUUGUGAGUCAUUCCAUAGUGUU
ensembl:snRNA U6 U6 spliceosomal RNA